rnacentral:rRNA from 1 species
UCGGGAAUUUUGGGCAAUGGGCGAAAGCCUGACCCAGCAACGCCGCGUGAAGGAUGAAGUAUUUCGGUAUGUAAACUUCGUAAGAAUAGGAAGAAUAAAUGACGGUACUAUUUGUAAGGUCCGGCUAACUACGUGCCAGCAGCCGCGGUAAUACGUAGGGACCAAGCGUUGUUCGGAUUUACUGGGCGUAAAGGGCGCGUAGGCGGUGUGUCAAGUCAGUUGUGAAAUCUCCGAGCUUAACUCGGAACGGUCAACUGAUACUGUCACACUAGAGUACAGAAGGGGCAAUCGGAAUUCUUGGUGUAGCGGUGAAAUGCGUAGAUAUCAAGAGGAACACCUGAGGCGAAGGCGGGUUGCUGGGCUGAUACUGACGCUGAGGCGCGAAAGCU